rnacentral:rRNA from 1 species
AAACCGCCCAGAGGUAAACGGAUGGAUCCGCAAAGUCGGCCUGCGGAAUUCAGCGCGGCGCGCGGUCCGGGGCUGCUGCGGCUCGGGAUCCCUGGGACCCGACCGCGGCGCCGAUCCGGGUUCCGCCGCGUGCACUUUCCGCGGGCAGAGAGCCACAACCGGUCUGGCACGAGGGCGGCGACAGUUCCGGCGGGUUGUAGGUGGGGGCGCCCGCGUCCCUACCAGCCCGUCGCGGGAGAGCCGCCUCCGGACCGAGGAAUCGCCGCGCGCUUCGAGGCCGCCCGGACCCCUCCGUGUGAGUUCGACUGGGAGAGACUGGGCAACCGUGUCUCCCGACCGCUCGCGCGCGACAGGGACCGGGGCCGGCCGGGCGCGCUGUGGGUUUGUGGCGAGUCUGUCGGCACUCCACCCGACCCGUCUUGAA